UCAGUAUGCCGAGCCCUGCCGCUGAUCCGGGAUUCAAUCGCUUUCCAGCUGGCAGGGACGGGGGAACCACCUUUCCGCGGCCUCAUGAGAGGCCUUGGGGUUAAGUCGAUAGCGCCUCCGUUCCGUUUCGGAGCCGCUGCCGGCCGGGUAUCUCCAACCCGAACCCGACAGCUCACCCCGCAGGCAUGGGAGAGGCGAUCA
rnacentral:sRNA from 2 species